rnacentral:rRNA from 1 species
CGGAACACGUACAGAACCUUCCUUUAAGCGGGGGAUAGCCCAUAGAAAUGUGGAUUAAUACCCCAUAGUAAUAUUUGGUGGCAUCAUUAGAUAUUUAAAGAUUUAUCACUUAAAGAUGGCUGUGCGGCUGAUUAGGUAGUUGGUGCGGGUAACGGCCCACCAAGCCAGCGAUCAGUAACUGGUGUGAGAGCACGACCAGUCACACGGGCACUGAGACACGGGCCCG